rnacentral:tRNA from 1 species
GGCCCUAUAGCUCAAUUGGUAGAGCACCCGGCUCAUAACUGGUAGGUUUUCGGUUCGAAUCCGGAUGGGGCCA